rnacentral:misc_RNA from 1 species
AUUUUGCCAGCUUAUAAGACAACCAAUAAUCCUUUUUAACCAAAAUUUGCUUCACACGAUCAAUAAUGAGAAUUUCAUGCUGGGACAGGGGACCAUCAUGUGAGAGAGAAUUAUAACGAGAUGGACGAAAAUUUCUAUUAGAACCCAGAUCUUCCCCUAUUUCUAGCCACUUACACUGAUAUGCAGCAUGGAAGUGCAAUAAAAAGUCAUAUAUUAGGUGGACGUAAACAGGAAGUAAGCUGCACUGGUGCACAUGCUCAACCAGGUGCUCCAUUCUGUUAAAGACUUCAGUGGCACCACCAGUGGAGAUAUCCAGCUUUUCAAAGCAAGUUAUCAGAAUCUGAGAUAAAUAAAUCAAGACUCUUGAUGCAGUUGAUGUAUGGUUUUCUUUGUCAAGCUCUGUUAUAUGAUGAUCUUUUGAGACUGAAUUUGUCAUACUAGUAAUUUCAUUAAGCACGUCGACCAGAUGUUCAAUAACUAUACAGAUCUUAUCCAGCACAAUACCACAGAGAUCUUGAUGUCUUCCAACCAAAUCAACUAAGAUAAAAAGUAAACUCUUUACCUCCUGCUCCGUUCCUUUGUCUGGAUGAGGAUUAUCA